rnacentral:tRNA from 1 species
CGGGGCGUAGCGCAGUCCGGUAGCGCACCUCGUUCGGGACGAGGGGGUCGGAGGUUCGAAUCCUCUCGCCCCGACCA